GAAUUGGAAACAUUCUGGUAUUCAACUCUUUCACUGCCAAUUGACAACCAACAUUGUACACUAGACAGCAUUGUCAAUGGUGAAUUGGAAAAUACAACAGAACAAAUUCGAGCAUAUAACAUACAUCCACAAGAAACAACUGUACACAGUUCAAAUAGAAUUGAAUCUACUUCUUCCGGUACUUCAGACUAUGUAACUAAACAAGAUAUGGAACAGAUGUUCAAUGUACACAGACAAGAUGUCUUUGGUUUCUACGACAAAUUGAAAACACAGAUGAUUCAAGAAGCAACAAAGCUAGAAGCUCAGUAUCAUACGAUUCUUGAAAAUCAACAAAGUCUCUGUCAGACACUUCUUGACAAUCAAAAACAAUUUUUUGAAGUGCAGCAAAAAAAUCAACAUGAACAUUUUCAGGGCAUACAAUCUGACAUGCAUUCUUAUGUGGAUACCAGUUUCGAUUUAAUGAAGUCUUACAUUGAUGAACAAAAUCGAAAUAUACAGAAUCAGUUAACCAACUGGAAAUCACAUAUGGAAUCAAU
rnacentral:lncRNA from 1 species